CCACUGUCCUUGGGAAGUUUAUUCACUGCCUUCACCAUUUACUGAUGAACAUGAUGACAUACUGAAGAGUCUAAUUCAGAAAGAGAUGGAGAGGGUAGAGAGACCAGAAAGUGACAGAAAAAAGUUGACCUUCAGCCUCAGUGUAAAACAUGAAGGAAGAAAUGUUCGAGAGAAUGGUGCAAUGAGUUCUGUGCAGGAAAAUGGAAGCUUCCUGGAGGAAGUAGGCUUGAGCUGAAUCUUCCAGUAAUGGGGAACAGAAAGGUGGAGUCUCUGGGAACCAUCAGAAUUUCCCUGCUAGUCAUGGCUCUUGAAAUUCAAGGAUUCUAAGAUAUUACUUGUUUUGCCUCAGAGGACAGGAACUGGAGCACCAGGGAGCCACCAUCCCACCAAACCUUCCUCACCAAGAUGCAGGUGAAGCAGAAGGUGGAGAGACUGUCCUGUCAGCAACAGUAAAAGACCAUUGAAAGAAA